ACGCUAGCUACAGGCUUAACACAUGCAAGUCGAGGGGAAACGGCAUUAAGUGCUUGCACUUUUUGGACGUCGACCGGCGCACGGGUGAGUAACGCGUAUCCAACCUUCCCAUGACUAAGGGAUAACCUGCCGAAAGGCAGACUAAUACCUUAUGGUCUUCACUGACGGCAUCAGAUGUGAAGUAAAGAUUUAUCGGUUAUGGAUGGGGAUGCGUCUGAUUAGCUUGUUGGCGGGGUAACGGCCCACCAAGGCAACGAUCAGUAGGGGUUCUGAGAGGAAGGUCCCCCACAUUGGAACUGAGACACGGUCCAAACUCCUACGGGAGGCAGCAGUGAGGAAUAUUGGUCAAUGGGCGAGAGCCUGAACCAGCCAAGUAGCGUGCAGGAUAACGGCCCUAUGGGUUGUAAACUGCUUUUGUAUGGGGAUAAAGUCAGUCACGUGUGAUUGUUUGCAGGUACCAUACGAAUAAGGACCGGCUAAUUCCGUGCCAGCAGCCGCGGUAAUACGGAAGGUCCGGGCGUUAUCCGGAUUUAUUGGGUUUAAAGGGAGCGUAGGCUGGAGAUUAAGUGUGUUGUGAAAUGUAGACGCUCAACGUCUGACUUGCAGCGCAUACUGGUUUCCUUGAGUACGCACAACGUUGGCGGAAUUCGUCGUGUAGCGGUGAAAUGCUUAGAUAUGACGAAGAACUCCGAUUGCGAAGGCAGCUGACGGGAGCGCAACUGACGCUGAAGCUCGAAGGUGCGGGUAUCGAACAGGAUUAGAUACCCUGGUAGUCCGCACAGUAAACGAUGGAUGCCCGCUGUUGGUACUUGGUAUCAGCGGCUAAGCGAAAGCAUUAAGCAUCCCACCUGGGGAGUACGCCGGCAACGGUGAAACUCAAAGGAAUUGACGGGGGCCCGCACAAGCGGAG
rnacentral:rRNA from 1 species